AUUACAGAGUUUCUGUUCUUUAACAGGAUUGGCGAGCGUGCUAUUCUACUGGGAGGACUCAUCGUUGUAUGGGUUGGCUUCUUUAUCUUGUUACCUUGGGGAAAUCAAUUUCCCAAAAUACAGUGGGAAGAUUUGCACAAUAAUUCAAUCCCUAAUACCACAUUUGGGGAAAUUAUUAUUGGUCUUUGGAAGUCUCCAAUGGAAGAUGACAAUGAAAGACCAACUGGUUGCUCGAUUGAACAAGCCUGGUGCCUCUACACCCCGGUGAUUCAUCUGGCCCAGUUCCUUACAUCAGCUGUGCUAAUAGGAUUAGGCUAUCCAGUCUGCAAUCUUAUGUCCUAUACUCUAUAUUCAAAAAUUCUAGGACCAAAACCUCAGGUAAGCCAGGUACCCUGACAUUGCAAUUAUAGAAAAUAUACUUGUAAGCACUCAACAUUUUUUGCUGCCAUUCUCUAUUUUUACACAGACUGAUUUGAGGGAUUUUUAUCAUAUUCAGCAUUUAAAAUUUUUAAAAAUCCCACAACUUCUAUAAAGUUCAUUCUUGG
rnacentral:lncRNA from 1 species